rnacentral:pre_miRNA from 1 species
AAUAAGUGCAGUUUUAGCACUGUUCAUAUCCAACGAUUGACCGUUCGUCUUAUUUGAAAAAAGAUUAUGAUUAGUAUUUUUAUUGUUAUUAGAUGAUAAAACAUGAAUAGUACUUUAUGUGUGACUAUUUUUUUAAA